UACGGAGGGUGCAAGCGUUAAUCGGAAUUACUGGGCGUAAAGGGUGCGUAGGUGGUUUAGUAAGUUAACUGUGAAAGCCCUGGGCUUAACCUGGGAAGGCCAGUUAAGACUGUUAGACUAGAGUAUGGGAGAGGGUAGUGGAAUUUCCGGUGUAGCGGUGAAAUGCGUAGAGAUCGGAAGGAACACCAGUGGCGAAGGCGGCUACCUGGCCCAAUACUGACACUGAGGCACGAAAGCGUGGGGAGCAAACAGG
rnacentral:rRNA from 1 species